CACUACCAACUUUCAACAUGAAGGUUCAUUGCAUCAAAGAUAUUAUAUGAGUUUCUUAAUCAUAUAAGUUUAGCUUUCCUGAUUGUUGGGUUUUGUAUCUCACCCAUAGAUUUGACGAGGUCAAUCAUAUCUUGUAAUCACUUGCAUUUGCGUAAUAGUUGAUCCCACGGUCCACACCUACCACUCUAUGGAGGAGCGCUCGUUGCUUGCUUGCAAGAGUAUUUCACUAUUUCUACGUUUUCUAAUAAAAAAAAAAAUUCAUGAGUGAUAAUCGAUAAUAUUCCAAACAAAUUAAAAACUUGCAAAAAAAAUAUUAUUAGAUGUCAUUUAUUUCAGGCUUAAUCCUCAAAUUGGUCUCUGUGUUUGUGUUUGUCUCGCCGUCUGAAGUAGGUCCCUCACCGGAAAAAUUUGUGGAAAAUAUCUUCAUCUUUGUAAAACGUUUGGAGCAAGUCCUCGCCGGAGCCCGGAGCUCCGGCGAGUAAUGAUUUGGCAUGCUAACUGGGCUAAUAACGCUUAUGUGGAUUUAAAAAAAAAAUUAACACAUCAUGAAAUUAAAUUAAAUUAACAAAAAUAAAACAAAUUAACAAAAUUAACCCUAAUCUAAUUAACAAACCCUUGUUCAAAAAUAAAAAAGAACUAACAAACCCAAAACCCUUCAUUAUCUUCAUCAUCCAAUGGUCCAUCUUCAUCAUUCUAACCCAGAAAAUUACAAGACCAUAAUUCUUGUUCAUUGAUUUGUGCUUCUUCUCCUUCUCUGAUCUCUUAGACAUGCAACCCACCAGAGCAAACAAACCCCCCCCCCCCACCCUCGACAAAACCGCCAACCCAACCGAAACCCAAACCAACGGCUCUCCACCCCCACCCCAACCGAAACCGAAACCCAACCCUCCCACUCCUCAACCCCAACCCCAAUUAUACCAGAAAAGGGAGAAGAAAGAAAGAAACAACACAAGUUCCAUAGAGAUCGCAUGAAGAACUUAGAGGAUGCAGGAAUUGGAAACCCAGAUCGACAACAUCGUAGCCUCCGCAUCCCAACACAUCAUCCUGACAAUCAUAGAACCCUAGAUCGCGCCUCUUGCUAGCUCAGAUCGUGCCUCCAUCAACCCUGAUCGUGCCUCCCUUAGCCCAGAUUCACGGUGGUCAAGCAUGCUUGAGAAGGGUAUGUGAGCGGGGAGGAGGUUUUCAUUCCGGGUCGCAAGGGAAGGAAGGAGGUUUAUAUUUGCUGAAAAGAAGAGGCGGUGGUUCAGAACUGAUGUUGUUGGCAAAGAGAAGAGCUUGUGUUUCAGGUUGAACACUUUUUUAUCCCACCUUCGAAGCUUUAAGCAUACCUUUCGUUUUCUGAUGUGUAGAGAUGCAGAAGAUGAGACUAAUUUGAUUGGGAAUUGAGUUAAUUUGGGAGAAUUGGAUUUAAUUUGGGGGAAUUGAUGUUGUUAAUUAAUUUAGGAUUAUUUUUAUUAAUUAGGUUAAAUUAUCUGAUGUAUUAAUUUUUUUUUUAAAAUCCACGUAAUCGUUAUUAGCCUAGUCAGCAGACCAAAUCAUCCCUCGUCGGAGCUCCGGCGAGGACUUGCUUCAAACGUUUUACAAAGAAGAGGAUCUUUUCCACAAAAUUUUCCGGUGAGGGACCUACCUCAGACAGCGAGACAAAGAUAGGGACCAAUUUGAGGAUUAAGCAUUUAUUUCAUGACAAACGUGAAUUUUUUAAUUUAAUUAUUUUAUACAAGUAUUAUGUGGUAUAUAUAUUUCGGAGUGGUUGCAUGAAAAUUUGACUAAUUAAAAGCAAAUCACAAAUCGAUUGUAUACCACAUCUUUAGACCAAGAUUUUAAGUCACUGUAUGUAUGAGUUAUCUCACUUAUAAACUGUUAAGUACUUAUUUUAUCAUCUAA